CCCACAAACCUAGGUUGUUCUCCAAACCGGCCUCCGCCGCCGCCGGCAGCAAUACUCCACCCCCGACUGCCCUGGCUGCAGCCAAUCGACGAUGGAAGACGCUGGCCUGAAGUUCUUGGCUUCUUGCUGGAUGCGCUUGACAGAUUUCCGCUCAGGGAAGAGCUCGCCGACAGCUUGGACCACCCAGAUCCGGCUCGUCGGGCGGUCCUCCUACGGAUUGAUGGCACGGGCAUUGAGCCGCCGGACUCGAACGCUGGGUCCGGGUGCGGGAAACGUGUUGGCGGUGCUAGCCAGGGGCGGUAACUGGGUAACGGGUGACGUCGAGGUCCGCACAGUCGACCAAUAGGGUGAAUCCGGAGGAUCCAGGUUGGACAAAAAGGAUGAGCUUUGCAAGCCAGAUAACGAAGUGGAUAGGGAUUACAUCGAGAUGAUGAACUCUACACUAAUGGGUUACAGAAUUGAGUGGUUGAAGAAG